rnacentral:snoRNA from 1 species
CCUGACCCUAGAGACAUUGCAGGCAUGGCUGCUGUGUUACAGGUGCAUCAAUAGAUGGUAGAAAGGAGAGAUGCUCUGACCUGUGAACAUCUGAAUGAAUAGUAGCCUAACAUUCCCAGAAAAAAAGUAAGCCUGAGACA